UAUCAUGGAUUUAGUCAGGACACGCGAUGAUGCAAAAAAACCAAAGGGAUGGCCCACUCUUCCACUAGCUGACAGAAACUCAUUCUAUGAAUGGGAGUUGUUCCUGCAAAGUAGCAGUAAUUAUGAUUUCGCUGUAGCCUAUCUCAGUGUUGUAGCUGAAAGAGGAGCAAAUGAGGGAGAAAUGGCUGCCAACAUUUGCAAGAAAUUGUUUUGGCCUGCGGUUGCAUCUGGCCUGAACUGAACAGGGACUGAAUUAAAAAAAGGAAUCAAGUCCAUGAAGUGUGGCGCAUGCAUCGUUGAUGCAUGUGCCCACCAGUACAAAGGCAAUUUUAUGAAAGCAACAGUAUCGGGAGCUAUUAGUACAUGGCUUCGCAGCCAUUCAAAAAAGAGGGCUGCAGACAACGGAAUACCAACGUGAUCGACAACUGCGGCGACGAUUUCGAGAGCAACAAGAGCUCUAUACCAAAA